rnacentral:rRNA from 1 species
UACGUAGGGUCCAAGCGUUAAUCGGAAUUACUGGGCGUAAAGCGUGUGUAGGCGGUUUCGCAAGUCCGAUGUGAAAUCCCCGGGCUUAACCUGGGAACUGCGUUGGAAACUACGAAGCUAGAGUGCGGCAGAGGGGGGUGGAAUUCCAGGUGUAGCAGUGAAAUGCGUAGAGAUGUGGAGGAACACCGAUGGCGAAGGCAGCCCCCUGGGUCGACACUGACGCUCAUGCACGAAAGCGUGGGGAGCAAACAGG